rnacentral:rRNA from 1 species
ACAUGCCUACAACAUAACAUUUAUGCACCAUAUCCCAGUAGAACUCCGCAAUUAAGAGCGCCCAGGCUAGAGUAGUACUGGGAUGCAUGAUCGCUCGAGAAGUCCUAGUGUUUUACAUGCC